rnacentral:rRNA from 1 species
AUUGAACGCUGGCGGCAGGCCUAACACAUGCAAGUCGAACGCGUGGCGGACGGGUGAGUAAUGUCUGGGAAACUGCCCGAUGGAGGGGGAUAACUACUGGAAACGGUAGCUAAUACCGCAUACCAUCGGAUGUGCCCAGAUGGGAUUAGCUAGUCGGGGGGGUAAUGGCUCACCUAGGCGACGAUCCCUAGCUGGUCUGAGAGGAUGACCAGCCACACUGGAACUGAGACACGGUCCAGACUCCUACGGGAGGCAGCAGUGGGGAAUAUUGCACAAUGGGUGCAAGCCUGAGGCAGCCAUGCCGCGUGUAUGAAGAAGGCCGUCGGGUUGUAAAGUACUUUCAGCGGGGAGGCGUUACCCGCAGAAGAAGCACCGGCUAACUCCGUGCCAGCCGCCGCGGUAAUUC